AUUACUUGCUAAACAUUGAUGCGCAUCAAGCUGUAACUGCGCUAUACUCUCCCUAGAAGACCGACCUUUGCGAAAACCAAACUGAUUAUUAGGCAAAAGACAAUUUUGUUCUAUAAAGAACUCGAGACGUUGUUUUAGAAGCUGCUCAAAUAUCUUCCCAACACAAGACGUGAGAGCUAUAGGUCUAUAAGAGUCAGCAUUUAAAACUGCUUCUGUACACCUCUGAUUCCACCAAGGCAACCAAGGAUAUUUAAAAGAUUUUUGUGAACAAGAACUAGUAACAUUAUUACUAUUAGAACUUUUGGAAAACAGACAGCUAGGGAUUGACUGCUUGGCAGCAGAAAGUAAAAUAUUACAAAAGGAAUUAAAAGCAUCUAUUGAAGAUAAAGUGUCAAAUUUAACAUCAUCCAAAUAAGAAACAACUAAGUUACUAUACAUAUUCCAAUUCACCUGCUUAUAAUUAGGGGAGAUGAUAACUACUGCCCAGAGGACUGUCAAUAACUGACCAGUCACAUAAAAGAGCCAAAGAUGGAUA